UACGGGGGGGGCAAGCGUUGUUCGGAAUUACUGGGCGUAAAGGGCUCGUAGGUGGCCAACUAAGUCAGACGUGAAAUCCCUCGGCUUAACCGGGGAACUGCGUCUGAUACUGGAUGGCUUGAGUUUGGGAGAGGAAUGCGGAAUUCCAGGUGUAGCGGUGAAAUGCGUAGAUAUCUGGAGGAACACCGGUGGCGAAGGCGGCAUCCUGGACCGGCAUUGACGCUGAGGCGCGAAAGCCAGGGGAGCAAACGGG
rnacentral:rRNA from 1 species